CCAAUAGCGUAUAUUAAAGUUGUUGCAGUUAAAAAGCUCGUAGUUGAAUUUCGGGAUCAAUACGCCUGUCGUGCCUUCGGUACGUACGGGUGUAAUUGGUUUCUACCUUCUGAGGAUCCUUGAUGUCAUUAAUUUGGUGUCUUGGGGAAUCAGGACUGUUACCUUGAAAAAAUUAGAGUGUUUAAAGCAGGCAUACGCUUGAAUACAUUAGCAUGGAAUAAUGAAAUAGGACGUUCGAUUCUAUUUUGUUGGUUUCUAGGAUCGACGUAAUGAUUAAUAGGGAUAGUUGGGGGCAUUAGUAUUCAAUUGUCAGAGGUGAAAUUCUUGGAUUUAUUGAAGACUAACUACUGCGAAAGCAUUUGCCAAGGAUGUUUUCAUUAAUCAAGAACGAAAGUUAGGGGAUCGAAGACGAUCAGAUACCGUCGUAGUCUUAACCAUAAACUAUGCCGACUAGGGAUCGGAUGAUGUUAAUUUUUUAAUGACUCAUUCGGCGCCUUACG
rnacentral:rRNA from 1 species